rnacentral:rRNA from 1 species
AGAGUUUGAUCAUGGCUCAGAUUGAACGCUGGCGGCAUGCCUUACACAUGCAAGUCGAACGGCAGCGCGGGGCAACCUGGCGGCGAGUGGCGAACGGGUGAGUAAUAUAUCGGAACGUGCCCUGGAGUGGGGGAUAACGCAGCGAAAGUUGCGCUAAUACCGCAUACGAUCUAAGGAUGAAAGCAGGGGACCGCAAGGCCUUGUGCUCCUGGAGCGGCCGAUAUCUGAUUAGCUAGUUGGUGGGGUAAAGGCCUACCAAGGCAUCGAUCAGUAGCUGGUCUGAGAGGACGACCAGCCACACUGGAACUGAGACACGGUCCAGACUCCUACGGGAGGCAGCAGUGGGGAAUUUUGGACAAUGGGCGCAAGCCUGAUCCAGCAAUGCCGCGUGAGUGAAGAAGGCCUUCGGGUUGUAAAGCUCUUUUGUCAGGGAAGAAACGGUGUGGGCUAAUAUCCCGCACUAAUGACGGUACCUGAAGAAUAAGCACCGGCUAACUACGUGCCAGCAGCCGCGGUAAUACGUAGGGUGCAAGCGUUAAUCGGAAUUACUGGGCGUAAAGCGUGCGCAGGCGGUUUUGUAAGUUUGUCGUGAAAGCCCCGGGCUCAACCUGGGAAUUGCGAUGAAGACUGCAAGGCUUGAAUCUGGCAGAGGGGGGUAGAAUUCCACGUAGCAGUGAAAUGCGUAGAGAUGUGGAGGAACACCGAUGGCGAAGGCAGUCCCCUGGGUCAAGAUUGACGCUCAUGCACGAAAGCGUGGGGAGCAAACAGGAUUAGAUACCCUAGUAGUCC